GCCAAUCAGAGAAAUCCAGAUCAGCAAUCACAUAGGAUGCCCUCCUCUAGUUAGCCGUCCUGCAGCUUCCAGCCAACAGCCUCCAGCCAGGGCACCCUGAGAGCCAUCCCUGUUCCAACCACAAAGGUCGACCACUCCUCUGUCUGCCUUUGAGUCCCUGCCAGAAGAACCACCUGUCUGCCCUCCCCCAGCCUGUUGACAUUAACAUCACUCUACUGCUCCAAGCAGAUAACCUGACUGUUCACCGUAAGAACUUCCCAAAAGAUUAACCAGCUCUUCAUGGGAAGCAUCCACAGAGUGGUUGCAGCCUGAGAUUCCCUUGCUUCAAAAUCUUUGCCCUGCCGUCUCCACCCAUUCCAGACCAUGACAGACUCAACAUACAACGAGCAGUGCCGGGACAACAUACACAAUAGAACUCUGACCCACAAUAUGCAGCAGCCAGCCCAAGAACGAGUCAUCAUCAACAGUAACCAGCAGGGGAAGCCAACCUACUGCCUACAAAUCAGACUUCUAGGAAGUCAGCUCCCUGUCUCUAGCAAACAGUCUACGAAGCCAGUGACUCCGAGAGAGAGGACACAUGCAUGGGGGAGGAGCAGAGGGAGAGGGAGGAGUGACUCCCUGUUAACAGGGAGCCCCCAUACGGAGCUGGAUCCCAGGACCCCAGAUCAGGACCUGAGCUGAAGGCAGACGCUUCACCAACUGAGCCACCCAGAUGAAGAAAACACAGACCAUAUUUUGUUACCAGUUGCUUGGACAAUGCCUGAAGUAUCUGAGGACUUCAUAAACAUGAACUUUCAGUAAUAAUGAGACACUUUGUAGAGAAUGCCCAACAAAAGGUGGCCUAUUAACAUCUAUGCUGUUUCUCACCUGCUGUCUUGAAUCUCUCUGAACUAUAAAUAC